GAAUAUUGCACAAUGGGGGAAACCCUGAUGCAGCGACGCCGCGUGAGUGAAGAAGUACUUCGGUAGGUAAAGCUAUAUCAGCAGGGAAGAAGAUGACGGUACCUGAGUAAGAAGCACCGGAUAACUAAGAGCCAGCAGCCGCGGUAAGACGGAGGGGGCAGGCGUGAUCCGGAUUUACUGGGUGUAAAGGGGGCGUAGGUGGCGAAGCAAGGCAGAUGUGAAAGCCCGGGGCUCAACUCCGGGACUGCAUUUGAAACUGUUUUUCUAGAGUGCAGGAGAGGUAAGUGGAAUUCCUAGUGUAGCGGUGAAAUGCGUAGAUAUUAGGAGGAACACCAGUGGCGAAGGCGGCUUACUGGACUGUAACUGACACUGAGGCUCGAAAGCGUGGGGAGCAAACA
rnacentral:rRNA from 1 species